rnacentral:lncRNA from 1 species
UAAUUUUGAGAAAAAUGGGUGAAAAUUUGGGUUCUGGGAGUGUUUUUGAAAAAAAAAUCAGAAACUGUGGGGUCAAAAUAUAGUUUAGGAAAAAUGUGCCACGUAUGACUGCCCAGUCAGCAGCCCCGACGAAGCAGAGCGUGUCGCGUGGCAAGGCACGUUGACACAGUGCCACGCGGGAGGCCACGCUAGCAAUCCGCGUGCUCACGAUCGGACAGUUCGAAAUUAUUUCUGCGUGUGUGGACGGUCCGGGUCCGUUCCCUCCUCAGGGGCGAUCGUACGGUCCAUAUGAAAUCACAAUAAACGGUCCAAAUCAUCUCUUAUUUAAACGCGAUCGGAUGGUCGAGAUCGAACGCGAUGGACGAUCCAGAUUAAAGCGAGACGGAUAUUAAUACCUCACUUCACACCAAACCCUAAUCCUAGUCGCCAGCCCACCCGCCGGAUAAGAAGAACUAGUCACUGGGAGAUAGAGUCGACCGUUGUCCGCCGCCGUGCCAGAGCCACCUCUGACCGCCAAAAGAGGUAAAAAAUUUCUCAUUCCUCGAAAUUCGAUUUUGAACACCCACAUGACUAAAUCGAAGCAUAAGGACUGGCGAAUGAGCCAGAAAUCGUGGGUAAAUUCCGGCGCCGCCGCCACGAGAAAAAUAAAAAACCACCUCUGAUGAGGCCCUUCU